UAUACAUAAUUGUACUAAGAAUGUAAUUUUUCGUCCAUAUAUCAUUCAUCACAUUACUGUGAAACUAAAUAAUUUCUUCACACACUGAUAAUGAACAUUGAUUUUCAAAAUAAAAAGGUGUCGAUCUCAUCAUUGGUACAUCACUCGCUUUUUACUAAUGUAUAAACACAAAUAGAAAGGGAAUAAAACAUCCAGACUAUGGAAACAUCUAGAUAAUUGCAAUACUUCGGUUAUUUAGGAAGGUCUGAAGGAGUACAGUAAUUCAAAGCAAGCAAGAUAAUUCUUGUUUCUUACAAAGCUCAUUGUUAUACGAAUUGAAAUGUCAUUGUCAGGCCAUAACCUCAUGAUAUUUGCCAUGUGAGCUUGGCUACAAAACAAAGACCAUCUGCCGCUAGUGCUGCACCACCAGAUGUUGCACAUGAGCCCCCUACAAUUUUCAUCUUUCUCUCCUUGCUCGUCAGUAACUUGAACCAUGCCCAGACCUAACUGCAAGGCAAACCAAUAUAUAUUGCAUGCUCUUCCAUGUCCCUAACUUCAGAUAUUGUAUCUCCGCUAAAAAAAAUUAACCAUGGAAAAAACUAAAUUAACAAAAAAUAAAUAUAUAGCAUAGUCAGCAGGAACAAGGUUUGAAACAUUAGAAUAGGCUCCAGAUACUUGCAAUACGGUGGCCAGAGAGAGAGAGAAAACUAUUAGGAAAUGGGUUAAUGCCAUGAUCUUUUACUCUUUAUUCAGUACACUUAGUUAAUAUUAGUCAAUGAUAACAGUAUCUAUUAGGAAAUGGAUUAAUGUUAUAGAUCGGAGAUUAUUUAUUUAGUACAUUCAGUUAAUUUAUUAGUCAAUGAUAACAGUACCUAAAACGUGCAAAUCAGGAAAUGGAUUAAUGCCAUGAUCUUUUACUCUUAUGUUUGCAAGCAUGGUUUCCUAAUACCUACAUAUUCACUGUAUGAUCAAUGUGGUAGUCGUAAGGCACCGCAUGGAGACAGUAGCUUGUGAACUCAUAAGGUACUUCCAGUACUCUCAGUGUCAAAACACUUCCUUAAAAAUUGUGAAAGACAAUCGCAAAAUGUCACCACAUAAAUAUAACAUCUAUUUAUCAUCACAUAGUUGUAGUUGAUCCAAAAUGGACAACAAGCAUUGGACUGACAGUCAUAAUGUUUCUGAAAAAGUGAAAGCAUGCUUUUUACAUAUAUGACCCAGUGCUCUGGACUUGCUAUUAAGAAAAAAAAUACAAAGAUCUGGCUACCAUUUAAGAUACCAACAUGGUUUUGUACAUAUAUUUUGAAACUUGUUCU
rnacentral:lncRNA from 1 species